AGUAUAUAUAUUUACUAAACAACAACAACAAAUUAAAAAUAAAAUAAUAUUAAUUUGUGUUUGUUUUAAAAACUAUAAAAGAUUUAUUAUUGUACAAAAUGUUUAUCAUAGUCCAUAGAUCAGUCUAAAAUCCUUGAUUUUUACCCUAAAUACUUGAAAACAUAUGAAACUGACUAAUUAUAUGUGUAACAUAUCUAAUAUAACUGUCCUCAUAAUUGCAGAAUAGUGAAUAUCUACCUUAUACAUCUUAUAAAGCUUAGCACUAUCAAUUAUUUGUUAAAUUAUUUCUUCAAGGCCAAAAUACCCGAGUAAAAACAAAUGUAAUACAAAAAUAAGAAUUUGGCCAAAAAACAGUUUUUUUUCUUUUAAAACACCCAUAUGUCUUAAAAUCAUACUGGUAAUUGAAAUUUAGGCCAAAAUUAAACCAUAUAUAAAAUAUUAUGGCUAAAUCAAUGUCUAAUGCAUCAUAAUAGCUCAUUAAUUCUUAGGUGGAUCCAGGGGGGGGGGGGCUUUUGUGGGGGAAAAUGGUUGAUUAUAUAGGGAAUCACUGAAGCAUGACUGGAGCACCCAUCCCCCACUCCUUUAGAUCAGUCAGCAGGCCCACCUUAUGGAAAGUUCUGGAUCUGCCACUGGUUAUAUAUCUAAAGGUUAAAAGUAUUUGAAAAAUUGAAAAUGCUAUUGUUUAAACAAAAUGUUUAAGAUUGUUGGUCAACUUUUUAAGGAGAAUUUAAUUUACUCUACAUUUUAGGAAAGGCUAUAUUGUUUUCUAUAGACACAUCCUUCAAGCUAAAGUUAUAAGAUUUCAUAUCUAUUACAAUCUUUGAAUUUAAUACAAUCUGUGAACUAAUCUCAAGAAAUACUGUGUAGUUUGAUAAUUUGGGCAGGUGAAAAUUUAAUAAUUCAGAAGGAAGAAAAUGUAGGACAUGUUUUUUCAUAAUAGCAAAUAUAAAAAUAUGUUUGUUUGUAAUUACAUCAAUAUCUUGAAAAGGGAUUUAUUCCAUACAGAUUUAUACUUUACGAUUAUUUAACAAAAAAUCUAUGGAUUAAAUUAUUGUAAAAGUUAACAAGCAAAUUGGAAGUAAAAGUGACUUUUUCUCAAAUUAUUUGCUUUAUUAUAAUAUGAAAAGUUAAACAUUU
rnacentral:lncRNA from 1 species